ACUCCUACGGGAGGCAGCAGUGGGGAAUAUUGGACAAUGGGGGCAACCCUGAUCCAGCAAUUCUGUGUGCACGAAGACGGUUUUCGGAUUGUAAAGUGCUUUCAGCAGGGAAGAAGGAAGUGACGGUACCUGCAGAAGAAGCGACGGCUAAAUACGUGCCAGCAGCCGCGGUAAUACGUAUGUCGCGAGCGUUAUCCGGAAUUAUUGGGCAUAAAGGGCAUCUAGGCGGCCUAACAAGUCAGGGGUGAAAACCUGCGGCUCAACCGCAGGCUUGCCUUUGAAACUGUAAGGCUGGAGUAUCGGAGAGGUGGACGGAACUGCACGAGUAGAGGUGAAAUUCGUAGAUAUGUGCAGGAAUGCCGAUGAUGAAGAUAGUUCACUGGACGAUAACUGACGCUGAAGUGCGAAAGCCGGGGGAGCAAACAGGAUUAGAUACCCUUGUAGUCCUAUC
rnacentral:rRNA from 1 species